AGAGCGGUGGAGGACUGCGCUCCAGGAUGCAACCAAAGCCGGGUGCACAGCAGCCGGCAUGGCGCCAAAACUGAAGCCCUGAGCUGCUCUGCGGUGCUACCCUUUGUCCCUCCAGACUCUCUUUUCCUUCAUCUGUUUGUCAGUAAACCGAAGCCACCACAGUUUGUCAUUUGGAUGAUUUUCGAUGGAGAAGCUGCAGCUCCAGACUCUUGACAGCCGCACAACUUCCAAGGCAGUGGCCCCGCGGGCUGCAAACCCCACCUUCCUGCAGUUGCAGAGCCAGCUAAGAGGUGGGCAGCAUGCCAGGCCCCAUCAGCAGCCCCUGGAGCACACACCAAUUGCAGAUGCUCAGGAGACUCGGGGGAAGGAACGGGGUUUUCACCAGAACACCACAGGCAGGACCUCCCAGCAAAGGCCUCCAGAUGCUGUGAAAACCUAAGGCUCGUCCUCCUCCUGGCUUCCCAGGUUACCCAGCCACAACACACAGAUGCUGGGUCUGGGACGGCUCCACUGGAACCUGAGAUGACCUGAGGGUGUCCCAGUGAUAUAACAUAUGAGGAAAGCAGAAACAACUAAGAAAUAGACUCUGAAUGUGGCAGAUUCUAGAACUGAGCAUCCAGUCUUCCUAAUUUAGAAGAACCCCAAAAUAGGUGAAAAGUACAACCCCACCUCUGAUCCCGCCUCUGACCCCGCCUCCUGUCACAGAGGCGGAAGAGGAGCAGAUCUUCACUUUCCACACCUCAAGGUACUCAGCCAAUCACCUGUUCAUGCCUGAGAUUGUGAAUCCAAUAGGAAAGUACAAGGACAUGGAGAUUGUCAGAGCUGUUGUAUGAUGGUGGCAGCAGAGUCAAGAGUCCAGCGGAGAGGCAGCAAGCAUCCCAAGGAUCCCAUGACUGAGAACCAGCUUCUGUGGUUUAGAAGCAAGGCGCCAACUGGUAUGAGAAGCACAGACAGAUGGUGCCCUGGGAACACUGGCUGUCACGUGCUGGAGGAGGUUCCUCAGCAAGUCACCUUCCCUCCAUGGGCCUCUGUUGGAAAGAAGGCAUCAAGAUCAUUCCAGCUAUGAUUCCUGAGCUUUUAAUAUAUUCUUUCUGAUGAUUAAGAAAUAUAUCUGUCGAGCAUGGCAGCUUACGCCUGUAAUCCUAGCACUUUGUGAGGCCGAGGCGGGUGGAUCAUGAGGUCAGGAGUUCAAGACCAGCCUGACCAACAUGGUGAAACCUCGUGUCUACUAAAAAUACAAAAAUUAGCCGGGUGUUGUGGUGUGUGCUUGUAAUCCCAGCUACUCGGGAGGCUGAGGCAGGAGAAACACUUGAACCCGGGAGGCGGAGGUUGCAGUGAGCUGACAUCACGCCACUGCCCUCCAGCCUGGGUAACAGAGUGAGACUCCAUCUCAAAGAAAAAAAGAGAUAUAUCUGCAUGUGACAUGGAAAGAGGCUCAGAAUAUCAGACAUUUUACUACAGAUCUUGAAAACAGCUCUCCAAAACUAACUCCAGAUCCACCCUGGGGUUCUCAACUCCACAUGGUUUUCUAAAAUUGAGACCAAGACUAAGAUGAAGAGCUAUGCCUCGCCCUGAUGCUGCCAGGACUACUGUUCCCAUGACUACCUUGAGGUGCAGGCUGAGACCCUGGGUGUCUGUGGUGGCAGAGUACAGCAGAGGAGUUGGAGUCAAAGCAGUUUGGAUCCUCAUCCCAGCUGGGCCUCCUGAUGUUGGAGGGCCCUGGACAAAGGGUUUUCAUUUGCUGGGUCUCAGUUCUCCACAUGGACAACAAUGCACUGUAUGAGUUUUAAGGUUCUUUUCAGCUCUGACUCUCUGUGAGUCUGAAUCCAGUAGGAGCUAUUAUUUCCUUGAUUCCUCCUUACUGUUUUGUUCCCUUCUUCUCUGGUUUCUGUAUUAAAACUUUAUAUGUUUAUGAAUGGAUAAUCAAAAUGUGGUAUAUCCAUAUCAUGGAAUAUUAUACAGCCAUGAAAAGGAAUGAAGUACUGAUGCAUGCUACAACAUGGAUGAACCUUAAAAACACUAGGCUAAGUGAAAGAAGCCAGUCUCCAAAGACCAUAUGUGGUAUGAUUUCAUUGAUAUGAAAUGCUCAGAAUAGGCAGAUUUGUAGUGACAGAAAGUACAUUAGUGGCUGCCUAGGGCUAGGAAGAGAUGAGGAGUGACUCUCAAUGAGUACAGGAUUUCUUUUGGAAGUGAUGAAAAUGUUCAAAAAUUGAUUGCAGUGAUGGCUGUACAACUCUGUGAAUAUAUGAAAAACCCUUGAAUUAUACAAUUGAAAUUGGUGAAUUGUAUGGUAUAUGAAUUGUAUCUGAAUAAAGCUGUUAAAAAAACGGGGAAGAA
ensembl:lncRNA LINC02037 long intergenic non-protein coding RNA 2037